UGACCAAGGCCAACGCCUGAGUUCUUCCACU
rnacentral:piRNA from 1 species